AGCGAACGCUGGCGGCAGGCUUAACACAUGCAAGUCGAGCGGGCCCUUCGGGGUCAGCGGCAGACGGGUGAGUAACACGUGGGAACGUACCCUUUGGUUCGGAAUAACGCUGGGAAACUAGCGCUAAUACCGGAUACCCCCUUUUGGGGAAAGGCUUGCUGCCGAAGGAUCGGCCCGCGUCUGAUUAGCUAGUGGGUGGGGUAAUGGCCCACCAAGGCGACGAUCAGUAGCUGGUCUGAGAGGAUGAUCAGCCACACUGGGACUGAGACACGGCCCACACUCCUACGGGAGGCAGCAGUGGGGAAUAUUGGACAAUGGGCGCAAGCCUGAUCCAGCCAUGCCGCGUGAGUGAUGAAGGCCUUAGGGUUGUAAAGCUCUUUUGUCCGGGACGAUAAUGACGGUACCGGAAGAAUAAGCCCCGGCUAACUUCGUGCCAGCAGCCGCGGUAAUACGAAGGGGGCUAGCGUUGCUCGGAAUCACUGGGCGUAAAGGGCGCGUAGGCGGCCAUUCAAGUCGGGGGUGAAAGCCUGUGGCUCAACCACAGAAUUGCCUUCGAUACUGUUUGGCUUGAGUU
rnacentral:rRNA from 1 species